rnacentral:rRNA from 1 species
AGUGAACGCUGGCGGUAGGCCUAACACAUGCAAGUCGAACGGCAGCACAGUAAGAGCUUGCUCUUACGGGUGGCGAGUGGCGGACGGGUGAGGAAUACAUCGGAAUCUACUUUUUCGUGGGGGAUAACGUAGGGAAACUUACGCUAAUACCGCAUACGACCUACGGGUGAAAGCAGGGGAUCUUCGGACCUUGCGCGAUUGAAUGAGCCGAUGUCGGAUUAGCUAGUUGGCGGGGUAAAGGCCCACCAAGGCGACGAUCCGUAGCUGGUCUGAGAGGAUGAUCAGCCACACUGGAACUGAGACACGGUCCAGACCCCUACGGGAGGCAGCAGUGGGGAAUAUUGGACAAGGGGCGCAAGCCUGAUCCAGCCAUACCGCGUGGGUGAAGAAGGCCUUCGGGUUGUAAAGCCCUUUUGUUGGGAAAGAAAAGCAGCAGGUUAAUACCCCGCUGUUCGGACGGUACCCAAAGAAUAAGCACCGGCUAACUGCGU